UAUGCUAAACUGCAAGAUUGGACACAGUGCAGGGAAGAGGUAUAUAUGCAUGUGCAGCGCCAGUGAAGAGAAGAAGAAGAAGAAGAAGAAAAAAAGAGAGAGAGAAGAAGAAAAGAUAGGGUGCCUAAGCAGAGGUGCGUUUAAGCAAUUUAUUAGAAGCUAUGUUCAAGGGGAGGAGAGAAGAGGAGCGUGUCCACGGGUCGAAACUGCAGCAAACCAGAGUUUUCUGAAGGCAUGUCGCAGAAGUGCACAGGAGAAUUUGGAUGGAAGUUUGGAAAGGCAUCAAGGGCAUGAGAGCAUGAUCUUGCACUUCUAAACUGCGAGAUUGAAAACCCAGCCUUUAGAGAUCAGUUGGAGUUUUGCCAUUGACAUCAAUGAAACCUGGGCUCUCUCCUUUUUCCUGGUAAAUUACAUUGUCCUGAACGCUGAGAUCUUACUACUGCAUGUAGAGCUCAAUACAAGAGAGGUGCUGCGCUUCUCAAACGCCAUUUGUGACGUUAAUAUGAACACGAUGGGCAGCGCUUACACGACGAGGCUUCGGAAGCAGCAUCGUAUAGAGGUCUGCAGCAAGUCUUUAACCAAGAUUUUUGUGGAACACGGGUGUGAAGGAUACUGUGUGUGUGGAUAGAUUCCAAGAGACUCUAAAAGGUGAAAACAAAGAUGAUCCAGUUGACAAAGCAAGUUUGAACAUGCAGCUUCUCCAUGGAAGAGGCCCUUGUUGACUGGGGAAUGUUCCUCCAGGUGAGCUGAACUGUAAAACUCUGUUCUGCCAUUACUGUGGUGUCCUUUU
rnacentral:lncRNA from 1 species